AUGAUCAGACAAAAAACGAGAGGGAAAAAAAGCUACAAAGAACCUAGUGGCAUGAAAAAGCGACACAGCAAGAAAAGACAAAUAGAUUUCAAAGAGUUUUCUACUGCCCCUCCUAUCUCCUGUCAUAGAUUCAGUUUUCCAGGAAGUCAGCAUACAGUGAGCCAACAGCUAUCCUGUCUCCUCCGAGAAAAAGCAAAUUGGUUUCCAUCGCUACCUGGCCCGCAGAAUCAGUUUACAGGAUGGUUUGCCAUUUCUGCUAAAAGGGGACUCCAUACUGUAAACUGGGGCUUCUGUGGUGACUCAGAUGGUAAAGAAUCUGCCUGCAAUGCAGGAGACCUGGGUUCGAUCCCUGGGUCAGGAACAUCCCCUGGAGAAGGGAAUGGCAACCUGCUCUAGUAUUUUUGCCUGGAGAAUCCCACGGACAGAGGAACCUGAUGGGCUACAGUCCAUGGGGUUGCAAAGAAUCAGACAUGACUGAGUGACUAGCACACACAUACUGUAAACUAACCUGGUUGAAAUAAAAUCUAAAGACCUCUUUGAUUCCCCUUUUGCUUUUGUUACCCUGUGUCAACAUCACUAUAUUCAAUCCAGUUCAAUUUAUUUUGCUUCCAAAGCAUGCCUCGAUUUCCAUCACUCCUCUGACAGUGAUGACUAGUUGACCCACAAUGUCUGCCCGUUCCUCCUCAUAAGGGUCCUCAAUUUUUAACUCAGCACAUGGCUGUCCAUUACAAAGACUGCUUUCUCAGCCUUCCUUGUAGAUAGAUAUAACCCUGUGACCAAAUUCUCACCAGUAUGCCAAGUUUAAGGUAUUACUUCAGAUAAGCGUCCUUAAUAGGCAUGGCCAGGCCCUUUACUUCCAUUCUCUUUUCUACUAUUUAGAAUAUAGACACUAUGCCUGGAAGCCGGGCAGCCAUUGGAGCACAUAUAAGUAUAUCCCAAAUAUUACAUUCAGUGUUGUUUGUUGUUUAUAUGAAAUUCAGAUUUAAUGGGAUCCUUUGUGUUUUUUGCUACAUCCGGUAAUUAGCUUAAUUUCAACACGAGUUCAUAAGGCAUCCAUGUAAGGCAACAGUAAAAUUCUAGUUGCCCAACAUCCCCUUCAGAAAUCAGCCAAAAAUUUCUCCUUCAAACACUGGCUACCAACAUUAGUGUCUUAUGUACAUUGGCUCUGCUAAUUACACCAGAAUCAACAGUUAGGUCUAAAGGUCAUGGGGUGGCCUUUAGAUUUUGAAAGACCCAGAUAUGGAAAUGUUUUCAGAAUAGAUAGCAACUAACAAUGGCAACCCACUCCAGUACUCUUGCCUGGAAAAUCCCAUGGGCAGAGGAGCCUGGUAGGCUGCAGUCCAUGGGGUCGCUAAGAGUCAGACAUGACUGAGCGACUUCAUUUUCACUUUUCAGUUUCAUGCAUUGGAGAAGGAAAUGGCAACCCACUCCCGUGUUCUUGCCUGGAGAAUCCCAGGGAUGGGGGAGCCUGGUGGGCUGCCGUCUAUGAAGUCGCACAUAGUCGGACACGAUUGAAGCAACUUAGCGGCAGCAGCAGCAGCCUAAUCAUCUAUCUUCAGAAAAUACUGAUUAUGAAUCACAUGGAGAGAGAAAAAUACCUGCAAAAACAGAAGUAGGACCAGAGGAAGUAAAGAGAGAGGGUGCUAAACUGGAGUCUCUAAAGGAACAGCCAUAAAGGUCCAGAUGACAGGGUGUACCCCAAAGCCUUCUGCCUCCAGCCCUGCUGACCCUCAUCCACCAGGUGGUCUAAACUGUCUGCCUUUUUUGCUGUCCUCUUUCUAAUCUAUGAUUAAGGCUUGAAUCUUGGCCCUGCUUCCCUUGAGGCCUUCUCUUUUACAUAAAGCAUGCUUGGAAAUCACCCAAACUUGAAAAAUGGCCAUGUCCCUGCAUUUCAAUGUCUAUGUCCUGAUCCCCCUGCUCUGUUUUGUUUUGUUUUUGACUGCUUGACUGUGGGAUCUUAGUUCCCCAAUCAGGGAUUGAACCCAGGCUGUAUGGCAGUAAAAGUUUGGAGUCCUAACCCCUGGACCACCAGGGAAUUCCCAGUCCUGCUGUGACUUUGAAAAUACAAAUACAUUGGCUUGAGACCUCCCAAUCCACCCCUAUGUGAUUGAGACCUCCGAGUCCACCCCUAUGUGGUCAGUAACUUCUGUUUAGUGCACAUUGUGUCCAUGGCCCUAUGCCCGGCCUUCCAGAGCUGUAAAAGUGGCUGCGAUUAUUCUUCUUUCAAAGAGCUGGAUCUAAGAGGACUAGAAGGGUUGACAUUGGAAGGAAGAAAGAAAGGAGGCUGGUCAACAUGAGAUUGUGGGGUGAGAUAAGGGAAUUUUAAAACAUGCACCCGUAUGGCUGCAAUCUUCUGAGUUACUGGGAAACAAAUAAUGUGUUGGGAAAAGGGGGGCUUGUGGGCUCCAGUUAUUGGGAAACAUUUGAAAGUCCCACUGUGGGAACUGACAAAGAAGAAUUCCACAUAUUCUCUUUUUAAAAAAAAAUUGGCCGUCUUUUAGAAGCAGGUUUGAGUACUCAAGCCCGCAAGUUCCUGUUAACUUUUGACAUAAAACAUAGAUUGAGUUUGAGUCAUAUCUUUAAAAAAGAAUGACUGUAGUUACCAUUCUCCCCUUCCUCAUGAGUUUUGUCUUAACUAACCUUGACUUCCUACCCCCCUGUUAGAAUUAAGACUGCUUCUGGGCCAGAGAGUAAAGCAGAGGAAGGGAAGAAAAUGAGGACCUGGCGUGUGCCAGGUACCGCUUCGUGUUUUACUCACAUGUUUUUCCUGGUCUUCAAAACCAGCCUCUGAUGUAGGCAUUACUAUUUGUUAGAGGCAGAAGAAAACUAGGCUUCCCAGGUGGUGCUAGCAGUUAAAAAACCCACCUGCCAGUGCAGGAGACAUGAGACAUGGUUCAAUCCCUGGGUCAGGAAGGUCCACUGGAGGAGGGCUGGCAGCCCACUCCAGUAUUGCCUGUAGAAUCCAAUGGACAGGGGAGCCUGGUGGGUUACGGUUGAUAGGGUCCCGAAGAGUCGGACACAACUGAAGUGACUUAGCAUGCACACCAAAGAAAACCAAGACUCAAAAGAGUUUCAGGUUACCCGUGAUUAUUCAGCUUGUACUAUAGAGUCAUCUCUCCUUCCAGAGUACCAUCCUGUCUUCUUUAGAGCUUUCUUUCACGAACCUUUCCCACCCAAUCCUUCUGGCCUCCAAUUUAAGGGAUACUGUUUUUACCCUGAGCUGUCCAUAACCAUAGCACCCCACAAGGACAAUUGGUUCUCUGCUUUAUACCUUGGCCUACCUUAGAGCUCUCUCAUUAGCUCAGAGGCUAGUUUUGGUUUUUCCAUCUGAAAAAUGGCAGAAGACUGCUUUCCCUGUAGAUUUAUGAGAAUGAAAUUGCGAGCAGUAAAUAAAUGACAGUCAAAAUGCCUGGUGCUUCUCCUUUUUUUUUUUUUUUUUCAUAUUUGAGCACCUUCUGCUCCAUUGGCAGAGGGUGUAAGUAGAAAUGAGCUUAUCAGAUGAGUUCAGCCCAGCUAAGGUGUUAGCUUGUUGAUAAUUACUUCUGCCCAAUUAAAAUGUAAAAUGUGCCAUUUCUUGUUUGCUUAAGGUGGCUAUUCUGAUUACAUCUGAGACAGUAUGUAUAUAUACAUACAUAUAUAUACACACGCACACACGCACACACACAUAUAUAUAUAUAUAUCCUGAGACUGCUGUUAGUAUUGUUUAGUUAUCACAUAGUAAAUAGCAAGGCACCUCAGCUGUUGGCCCUGGACCUGACCAAAAAUAUCUUAAAUCACAAAUGCUUCCUCUUAUUCUUUCUUUAAAAUUAAAAAAAUUGCACUUAUUUUUCCUUUAGUUUCUCUUUCUCCUAAGAAGCCAGUUUAUAAUGUCAACCUAGCAUUCACUUUACACAUACAGACAUGGCAAGCAAGAAUGCUUAUUGAAAAAAAAAAAAUUGCUGUUGACUGAAGAGUGACCCAAUAGUAGAGACCAUUGUUAAAUGUAAAUCUUUUUCUUAAUAAAGUACAAUUUUAGGUAAGGCCUGGAUGUAAUUAUUUUGAAGCAGCUUUAAAAAUGGUGGAACAGAUGGCUCUGAUUAUCUCCAAGAGGAAGGAAAAGAUUCAAGAGUUUUGUCAUUUCUUGUUUAAUAGUCUUGGCAUUCCUUAUUCACACUUGAGUUUUGAAUACUCUGGCUUAUAAAUUCACAAUCCCAUGCUAAACCUUAGUUCAUUCUCAUGAUCUGACCCUACUUCCCAUGCCAAGAUUUGAGACUCCAUCUCUGUUUCUGAUUCACUGGCUUUUCCAACAUUUCAUUUUCUGAUUAGCCUCUGAACCUAGAUUUCCCCCCACGCCCCCCAACUAUUUCUGUUCAUUAAGGGGAAGUUAUAGACACCCCAAAACUCUUUUCUGGGUGGUUUGGGCCAGGCUGGUUCUUAGAAAAGCCACAAAAGUCCUAGUCUGAAAUAAAGUCUAUCCACACCACCUCUCCACCACCACCAGGUUCUGCUGUUUCUACCUGUUACAGAAGAGGUCCAGGAAGACAGAGAGAGAUAGACCAGCAUAGGACUUUACUAGGACAGAGUCCGAGGAUUAGUGCCAGGGGGUUGAAACAGACAGAGGGAGAAGUUGGCUCGGGAUGCAACCUCAAC
ensembl:lincRNA